GGACUUUUCAAACUAAUUCUUCAACACGUUUCUAAUACAGUACAAGCAAGAAGCAGGGGUGAAUUUCCUGGAAAAGUCCUGGCAGAAAAGAACCCCCCCCCCAAAAAAAAAAACGUGCCUUGUGGUCUCAGGGGUAGGGGAUGUGAGAAACUCAGCACAUUCAAACUAAACCUCAAUGCUGAACGGAAGGAGAAGGGGGAGACUCGGAGAGGAACCGACUGGCUUUUUGAUAUUUCUUUGUAUUUUUAACAUUAUCUAUAUGUUACUCAACUAAGAAACUUGUUUCUUUAAGGACAGGGCACUGCAAAUUACAUAAUGGAGGAAAAGGGGUAGCGGUAGG
rnacentral:lncRNA from 1 species